GGCUGGAUAGCUCAGUUGGUAGAGCACCGGAACGGUUAAUCCGGAGGUCGCAGGUUCAAGUCCCACUCCAGUCA
rnacentral:tRNA from 1 species